GAAUGUGGGAGGAUCUAGCAGCGAAAGCUGUCACUGCAUAGGUCAACAAGGUGGAUUCAACUGACCUCGGUUUUGUGCCCUUCCUCCCUUAUCACUCCACAUGUGUCCCUCCCAAAGCCGCAUGCUGAGUCCAAGAGGAAAUCUCCCAACUUUCUUAAUAGAAGAUGACUGUUCUUUCAAUCAAAGAUGAAUAAGCAGCUAAACCUCCUCGCUAGAUCCUCCAAACAAGCUCUCAAGACCCUAAACUUAGCAGAGAGUCCCAGCUCUGAACAGCAAACCUCUGCUAGGAGCCGUUCCU
rnacentral:snRNA from 1 species